rnacentral:lncRNA from 1 species
GAUGAACUAACAGCUAUUAAUUAUUAAGCAGAUGAUCAGUGAUGAUUUCUAGCUGCACUGCUGCUCUCUAAUGGGUACCAAAAGGACUCAUUUUGAAUUCUGAUUGAGUUUGGUUUUUAAUAUUGGUGUGAGUCAAAUCAUCAAAGCCAGCUGCCUCUAAACAUCGACUGGGAUGUCGACUGGACAGGGCAAUGUAUUCUGUCAGUUACAGGAAGUAUCUCAAGUUUUCAUCUACAGAAUGUAAACAUCUAUUAAAAAUGUUGCUCUGAC